UACGGGGGGGGCAAGCGUUGUUCGGAAUUACUGGGCGUAAAGGGCGCGUAGGCGGCCUGCUAAGUCGAACGUGAAAUCCCCGGGCUCAACCCGGGAACUGCGUCCGAUACUGGCAGGCUUGAAUCCGGGAGAGGGAUGCGGAAUUCCAGGUGUAGCGGUGAAAUGCGUAGAUAUCAGGAAGAACACCCGUGGCUAAGGCGGCUCUCUAGUACGGUACUGACGCUGAGACGCGAAAGCGUGGGGAGCGAACAGG
rnacentral:rRNA from 1 species